UCUCAUUGGAGGUGAUGAAACCCUGGCCAAGUACCUGGUCUCCCUGCAGCAGGAAUUGAACGCCCUCCAGUGAGAUGCCAUCAGCUGCCAAGCGGUACCCUGAGACGGUCAAGCCAGCGGUCGUGGACGGUUCUCCGAGCGAGUGACCUGCGGACGAUGGGACUGACCCCACGGAGAAUCAACAACACCACACUCAAAUUCCUGCCCUAGGUCUCAGACGGUCCUCGACUGGAUGGCCGAUCUCGUGAGACUCAGGAGGCCUUCACCCGCCAUUAUCGGAAUGACCUGUGAUCCGGCGGAGCAGGUUGGAAGAAAGAAGGCACUUGCAGACCUCAAGACGCACGAAUGGAUGUACACCGCAGCGCCGGGAUCCGUGGAGCCGCCGGCUAGUCCUAGACCAUUGACCAUCCUGUCUCCGUUCUGUCUCCUUCACAUAUCGUCCUCGACGAUCGAUUGACCAUCCUGUCUCCAUUCUAUCUCCUUCCAAUAUUGUGUCUCCGUUGAAUCUCCUUCCUCUGGUAGAUUUUAAGUUGGGGCAGCGAUGUGUCAAUUACAUUACCUUAUAUGGACCACUCCCAAGAACUGGUUCUGAUUGGAGGCUGGAGUAACGGACGACGCAAGGGGAUUGGGUAGGAUCUGGGGCGCGCUGGAAGCGUUGCGGUCGAGUGGAACGCGGAAGUGCUUGCAAAUCAAGGUACCAGGUUUGGACGGCUUGGGGCUGUUCGUCACUCGUACCCCCCUGGGGUGAACGCACGGGCAGCCACUUUCCGCCCUUCCCUGCUGUCUCGGCUCUCUCUCUGGAGUCUGUUCAUUUCUACACCAAGGUCACGAAACCCUCUCGUGCGAUUGCGAGAUCACAGUCGUUUCUCUGAUAAAUUCCGCCACGGUUUUGGCAACCACGAAGGGAUCCUUGUGCUCAGGAUUCUCCGGGAACCAGGUGCCCAAGCGCGCGCCAAGGAAAACUCAGGAAUUGAACGCCCUCCAGUGAGAUGCCAUCAGCUGCCAAGCGGUACCCUGAGACGGUCAAGCCAGCGGUCGUGGACGGUUCUCCGAGCGAGUGACCUGCGGACGAUGGGACUGACCCCACGGAGAAUCAACAACACCACACUCAAAUUCCUGCCCUAGGUCUCAGACGGUCCUCGACUGGAUGGCCGAUCUCGUGAGACUCAGGAGGCCUUCACCCGCCAUUAUCGGAAUGACCUGUGAUCCGGCGGAGGUUAGUUCACCCAAGACCAAAGGGGCCCUAGUACUAGACGACUGACCAUCUUGUCUCCGUUCUGUCUCCUUCCUUUAGUAGAUCAAUCAUUUUAAGUUUGGGCAGCGAUGCGUCGAUUACGUUACCGUAUAUGGCCCACUCCUAAGAACCGGUUCCGAUUGGAGGCUGGAGUACAGGCAACGCAAGGGGAUGGGGUAGGAUUCUGGGCGUGCAGUGGAAGAGUUGCGGUCGAGUGGAACAUGUAAAUGCUUACAAAUAAAGGUAUCAGGUUCGGAUGGC